rnacentral:rRNA from 1 species
UGGGGGAUAUUGCACAAUGGGCGAAAGCCUGAUGCAGCGACGCCGCGUGGGGGAUGAAGGCCUUCGGGUUGUAAACUUCUUUUGCUCUGAACAAGGCAUGCUAAUGGGUGUGUUGAGUGUAGGGGUUGAUUAGCGCCGGCUAACUACGUGCCAGCAGCCGCGGUAAUACGUAGGGCGCGAGCGUUGUCCGGAAUUAUUGGGCGUAAAGGGCUUGUAGGUGGCUGGUUGCGUCUGUCGUGAAAGCUCAUGGCUUAACUGUGGGUUUGCGGUGGGUACGGGCUGGCGUGAGGGCAGUAGUGGAGGCUGGAAUUCCUGGUGUAGCGGUGGAAUGCGCAGAUAUCAGGAGGAAUACCGGUGGCGAAGGCGGGUCUCUGGGCUGUUACUGACACUGAGGAGCGAAAGCAUGGGGAGCGAACAGG